AUUGUCAGGUCGUGGACCAGCACCCCUUGACAGUUGUCAAACUUGAGAUGGCACUGUGAGCUGUUGACAAUUGUGAUGCCAGCCACUACGACAUUUGAAGAACCAUAGAGCCUCAAUGCCUGCAUCAGAGUUUAACCCGUGGCAUCCUCUCAAGCUCCUCAUUGUACUGCUGGAUUGUAUCCAAGGAAUGAAGCAUAAAAUUUAUUCACGAGCGGGGAGGAGUAAUUUCGGCACCAGAUUUUGUGGGGAAACAAAACGGACGUUGUCCUUUAUAUAUAUGCUUCCCUGUGGUCCAAGAGAUCACGUGCAAUUAGAGCGCGAGUAUGUCCAGUUUGGCAGCUAAUCCAAAAAUCCAUAUGCAUUAUGGAGAUACCAAGGUGAUGUGCAAACUCAUAGUUUUCAUAUUGGUUGUUUUCACAUCGUGGGACCUACUCGUCAAUAGGGCAUCUUUUUCCCCCAAGCUCUCAAUUGACUGCUAAAGUGAUUUUUUCAGACAAAAUCGUCAUAUCAAAGGUUAUUAUGCAGAUCGGCCCAAUAUGAGGACUCGGCUAGAGUUGCUCUUACUAAAGUACGGAAUUACUAACGCUCACAGGCAUCUCGCUGAACCAAAAUAUUUUUUGCUCUGUUUACAGCUCUAAGAAACAACGAGGGAAACAAGUAAAAAAUAGUCAUCUCAGGCAAACCUAACAGCUCACUUGCUUUGCAGAAUUUAGUCAGUUUAGCCAGAUGGCUAUGAAUGUGCUUUACCCGGCAUCCUCGGCGGGUUUGCCCCCGUGUUGAAUGAUAGACAUAGUUGUCCCUACGUUUAAUCUA